AGUGAACGCUGGCGGUAGGCCUAACACAUGCAAGUCGAACGGCAGCACAGUAAGAGCUUGCUCUUACUGGUGGCGAGCGGCGGACUGGUGAGGAAUACAUCGGAAUCUACUUUUUCGUGGGGGAUAACGUAGGGAAGCUUACGCUAAUACCGCAUACGACCUACGGGUGAAAGCAGGGGAUCUUCGGACCUUGCGCGAUUGAAUGAGCCGAUGUCGGAUUAGCUAGUUGGCGGGGUAAAGGCCCACCAAGGCGACGAUCCGUAGCUGGUCUGAGAGGAUGAUCAGCCACACUGGAACUGAGACACGGUCCAGACUCCUACGGGAGGCAGCAGUGGGGAAUAUUGGACAAUGGGCGCAAGCCUGAUCCAGCCAUACCGCGUGGGUGAAGAAGGCCUUCGGGUUGUAAAGCCCUUUUGUUGGGAAAGAAAAGCAGCAGGUUAAUACCCCGCUGUUCUGACGGUACCCAAAGAAUAAGCACUGGCUAACUUCGUG
rnacentral:rRNA from 1 species